rnacentral:lncRNA from 1 species
UAUGAUUUAGGCUCGAUACUACGACAAUCAUGUCGGCUAUUUCACCUUGCAAGACUUUAAUGAGGACGGUCGGCCAACUAGGAUCUCAUUUCAGAAAGCCAUCGAGGUUGGCGCCGAGACCGUUCACCAAGAUUCGGCGAGACUCAGGUUGGCUGACCUCAUGAUCGAUCCUGAUGCUUGACACCAAAUAGGUCAAACGCUGGGCCGCGAUUUCAUCUACCAUGGAACGACUACUGGUCCACUGGUAUACUAUU